AAAACUCUAUUUGCAUUUUAUUGAGAAUUUUAAUGAGUACGUUUUAUUUAUUUUGAUGAAAACCAUCUACCUCUGCUGGAAAAAUCAAUGGCAACAUCGCGGUCCACCCAAUAUUCUCCAUUUCAUCGAGCAGUAUAAAUAUUUUCCUCAAAGAACCCAAUGAAUCCCGAAACAAAAACGGCCUGUACAUACUCCUGUAGUUGUAGGGAAUGCAUCAAAUGAUAAUAGACACACGUGUGCACCAAAAAAAAAAACCACUGAUGAUAUGAAUCUGGGAGAGAGCAAGAUGUUGGUGAUGUGAUGAAAGCUCAGGGUCUCUGGCCGAUCGCCUCGGAGAAUCAGUUGGAUUUCUGGAGAUGUUGAUGAUUAAAAAAAAAUGUUAAAUCACCGUCUAGUUACGUUUUUGUGGAUUGACGAUUUACAAUCUUCAUCAAUUCUCUUUUUUCGUCUGAAUUGUUCUCAAUUCUUCUCAAUGUGAGAGAUUCAUUUUUGAUGGCGAGUCUGGGGAGAGAACUGGCUUUUGUCCUACCUUUGGGUGGCGGAAAAAGAGGCCAGGGAGACACUUUAAAAAUCCUUUUUAACACUGGAA